GUCAGCUAUAAAGAUUUGAAGUUCUUUAUCCAUAAACAGGUACUCCAGGGGCAGCAGCAGUGCAGACGUGCCCACACUGGUCCUGCCAGUGUACAUCAGCCCUACCAUGGGAUGUAAAUUGCCCACAGGGUCAUCGUCCAUUAUACCCAUUGAGUCUUUGGCCUCU
rnacentral:sRNA from 1 species